rnacentral:snRNA from 3 species
GUGCUCACUUCAGCAGCAUGUAGACUAAAAUUACAAUGAUACAGAGAAGAUUAGUAUGGCUCUUGAGCAAGGAUGACACAGAAAUUCAUGAAGAAUUCCAUAUUUAA